CGCUGCACUAGCUCCUUGUUCUUCACGCGGCCACCAUUCCUCACCAAGAAAUCGACCAGGGCGUCUUCUCGCAGCUCCUCGACGGGCUCGCACCCGGCCAUAGCUGCUGGGAGGCGACGAGCCGAAGGCUCUACACGAGAUAUUGCUAAGGGAGGUGCAUCGGAGGAGGGACCCUAUUUGGGAUGGGAGAAGUCAUGAAGGGAAACUGCUAAGUCUUAAUGGGAGAAGGGCACACAGGAGUUCAACAUCAGGAAUCUAAUGCUAAGGAUGUGUUUCCAUCAUUGAAAGAAGGAGGAGGUGAAAUACCAACACAGGAUAGAUCAGAAGUCAAGGCAGGGUCAAGAACACUUGCUUCACUCUUAGCCAUCUGCUCAAAAACCAAAACUGACCCUUGAAGAUAAAAGAACAAUCUUCAUGUGAUGAAUCAUUAGAUGUGAUUGCGCUGGAGGACUGCGGAUCUCCAGUGGCACCAAGUACUGCUCUGGGUGCUCAAAUAGGGGCUUUGGAGUUUGAUGUGCAUGUACUCUGUCCAAUUUACAACUUUAAGUGCAAGGUUGUGAAGACAUUAUAAAUAAGCCUGAUUUGGCUUUGACCUGACUUUUCUGCUUGUUAGCUGCUCUUGAUAAUUGUCGUGCUCAAGGUCAAAAUCCUAGACAUUUUCUCCUUUCAGCAGCCCAUGGUGCUGGGAAUAAUUACUGUGCUAAAAAAAAAUUGAAGCAGCUCUCUUUUGCAAUACUUAAUUUAUUUUGCAGUGCACUGCUGCCACAAAGCAACAAAUUUUAUCCAUAUAUCAGUGAUAUUAAACCUGAUUUUGACAAUGUGUCCAAUAGAUUCACUACCUUGUGGGUGCAGAAAUUUCUUCUCAUCAGAGCACCAAAUGGCCUUGCCCUUUAUGUGGAUAAGUAACCCCUGGUUCUGAGAUGCCUUAACCAGGGGAAAUGUCACACCUGCAUGUACCCUGUCAGCCCUGUAAGAAUUUUGAUUUCUUUGUCUCAAGGCCAACUGCCACAGUUAAUCAACUAACAGCCCAAAUCAGGAAUCACUCAUGGGAUUUUCCUGAUUUGUGAGGUUCAGUGAAUUUGUCAGUGAUACACAAAAUCUGAUAACAAAACAAAAAUGGAGCAUAGUUUGAAAGUGAAUACUUGUGGUGCUCCUUUAUCCCUUGAAUUCUGACAGCAGACUACUGUUUUAUGUAGCUGGGGCUUUUAACAUACAUUUACAAGCAUAACAGCUUUUCUGAUUAUUUUCAAUUCAGUACAUCACAUCAUUGCUUAAAUAACCACACUCUCUAUAAUCUUCUGCAUCCCUAGUCCUCCAAAUGUGAUAGAUACGAUCCUAUGUUUUGUUUGUAUAAUCGGUCUUUUAUUAUGUGCUAUUUUAAUAGCACCUAGCCAUCUCCACACAUCUGUCACUUCAAGUCGUUGAAUCUGACAUCUGUUCUAGGUUGAUGUGGUCAGAAUUAAAGCUAACUUCAAUUAAUUGUCAGUUGUGGCUAAAUGGAGGUAGUCUUACUCGAGUUGUAAGGUCAUGAGUUCAAUCUACAGAGCCAUAAAAAAAACACAGUAUCUAGACCAAAAGCCUAAAACUUGUCAGGAAUUCUGCAGUUUGGAUGAAAUGUUAAAUUAAAAUUCUAUCACACACUUUAAAGAAGAAUGUAGUUCCCUCUGACAUGGCUGAUAAAUAUCCCUCAAGCAACAGAAUUAAAAGUAAAUGAUAAAUGCUGGAUCAAGUUCUAACGAAGUGUCUUGGCAUGAAACAUCUGUUUAUUUCCCCUACUGAUGCUGCUUGACUUGCUGAAUUCCUCCAACAGACUGUGUUGCACAGAAUUAAAAUAGAUUAUCUGCUCAGUUUCCUAUUCUACUUGCAGCACCCAGCUGCAAUAAUUUCCUACAUUAAAACUCUUUAAAUCUACUGGCUGUUACAUAUUUCCUUUAUAAAUACUUGUCUUCAAUUGAGUCCAAGGAUGCCCUGCAGAGCUAUUUUCCAAAUGAAUAGAAGGACGUGGAUUGAAAUUGUUACCAGCACUUCUGUGUGUAGAUCCCCUAGUGUAGAGGCUGCUGCGCAUGAAAACUCCCAUCAAAGGGCACACAUAUGCAGCUAGACUUUUAACUAAAGCCUGGAUGAGUGUAUAUUACUCUCAGCCUAAUCGUUCUUCAUUAGCUUCCUGUAUCUUUUAGAUUUGAUUUUAAAGUCCUCUUGUUUUUAAAGUGCUCAAUGAUCUGGGACUGGAGUAAAUAACAGAAUUGCUUUUGUUUAAUAACCCUGCUCAAGCUCUCAGGUCUUCUUCUGUCAGUCUCUUAAAUGUAAACUAUCUCUCUCAAAAGAUAAUUGGCUGGUCAGUUUUUUUGAACAACGCUCCUAAAUGGUGGAACUCAAUACUUUAAACUAGAAGGGCUGCAGACUCAGAUAACACUUAAAUGCCAACACAAAACCUAAUUAUUUAACUUUGCUUUUAACUAACAUCUUUUUGUCUUUUAGUUUCAUGUUUGCGCUUUAUCCCACUGUAAAGCACUUUGAACUUCAUUGCUUGUAUGAAAAAUGCACAUGAAUCUCAUGAACAUAUAGCUACAAGGGUUAACCUCUGAAAUGAGGACUUUUCGGCUGAAAGAGUCUGAUCCUUCUCGGAUCACUAUUGGAGGGUCUUCCAGGUAGGUACCUUCCCAGUUUCAUUCUGAAGAUUGCUGGCUGAUGUCCUUGACAUCUCCUGCCAUAUCAUCUUUCCAAGCCAACUUGCCUGCCUGAUCACUGUCUGGAUACAUCUUUUCUGGUCUGAUAGUACUGAAUCAGAUUUGAUUUCACUUACAUACUGUGGGCUGUGAAAUUUGUUUUGUGGCAGCAUUACACUGAAGACACUAUUAAAAAAUAUACUAUGUAUAUCUGUAUAUACAUAUAUAGUAAUUUGUGUUACAAAUCAGAAUCAGGUUUACUAUCACUGGCAUGUGACAUGAAAUUUGUUAACAGCAGCAACAGUUCAAUGCAAUACAUAAUCUAGCAGAGAAAAAAUAAAAAUAAUAACAAACAAGUAAAUCAAUUACAUAUUAAAUAGAUUAAAACAUGCAAAAACAGAAAUACUGUAUAUUUAAAAGUAAAAGUGAGGUGGUGUCCAAAGAUUCAACGUCCAUUUAGGGAUUGGAUGGCUGACAGGAAGAAGCUGUUCCUGAAUUUCUGAGUGUGUGCCUUCAGGCUUCUGUACCUCCUACCUGAUGGUAUAGUAUAGUGAGAAAAGGGCAUGCCCUGGAUGAUGGAGGUCUUUAAUAAUGGACACUGCCUUUCUGAGACACAUCUCCCUGAAGAUGUCCUGGGUACUUUGUAGGUUAGUACCCAAGAUGGAGCUGACUAGAUUUACAACCUUCUGCAGCAUCUUUCGGUCCUGUGCAGUGGCCCCUCCAUACCAGACAGUGAUGCAGCCUGUCAGAAUGCUCUCCUUGGUACAACUAUAGAAGUUUUUAAGUGUAGUUAUUGACAUGCCAAAUCUCUUCAAACUCCUCAUAAAGUAUAACUGCUGUCUUGCCUUCUUUAUAACUACACCAAAAUGUUGGGACCAGGUUAGAUCCUCAGAUCUUGACACCCAGUAACUUAAACUGCUCACGCUCUCCACUUACAAUCCCUCUGAGGAUUGGUAUGUGUUCCUUCAUCUUAGCCUUCCUGAAGUCCACAAUCAGCUCUUUUGUCUUACUGAUGUUGAGUGCCACAUUGUUGCUGUGACACCGCUCCACUAGGUGACAUAUUUUCACUCCUGUACACCCUCUCGUCACCACCUGAGAUUCUACCAGCAAUGGUUGUAUAAUCAGCAAAUUUAUAGAUGAUAUUUGAGCUAUGCCUAGCCACAGUCAUGUGUAUAUAGAGAGUAGCUCUGCAGCUUUUUCCAAUCCUCUCCCUUGGCCACCCCAUACCAGUUGGUGAUGUAACCUGUUAGAAUGCUCACCAAUGUACACCUGUAGAAAUUUCCUGAUCUUUGGUGACAUACCAAGUCUCCUCAAACUGCUAAUGAAUCAUUGCUGCUGUCGUGCCUUCUUUGCAUCAAUAUGUUGGGCCCAGGAUAGAUCUUUAGAGCUGUUGACAGUCAUUUGAGACUGCUCACCCUUUCCACUGCUGACCCCUUGAUGAGGACUGAUGUGUGUUCUUUCAACUUCCCCCUCUCUUCCUGAAGUCCACCACUAGUUCCUUGGUUGUACUGGUGUUGAGAGCAAGGUUGAUGUUGUGACACCACUCAAAACUGAGGUUAACUUGCUUCCACUUUGUGUUCUUUAUUUUUUCUAAAGUGACUAAAGAGCCCAGUGUGGGAACCGCAGACCCUUCCACAGAUGGAUUAGGUGAUGACGAUGCAAAAAGUGGAUGGGUGAUUUGUGGAUGUUUCCUCUAAGGUGUCUGCAUGUCUUUUGCUAUUAGUGCACAAGGGUAUUUCAACUGUGCACAAAAGGUUGUCACUCUCUACCUCGUUGGCAUGUUAAGUAUGUUUCAUGAUCAUACACAACCACAUUCCUUUUCUGUUUUCUGAUGUGGACAGUUCACAAUGUGGAGUUUGCAAUGAGUUGUCUGCAGAUUUUAGAACUUGUUUAUACUGUUUUUAUUGAAGAAAUUAUCGAUUCAUUGUUGAAUUCUAAAGAAGCCAAAGGACAUGCAGCAUAAAAGAACUACUGGCUCAUUUAAAGCAUAAUGACUUAUUAUACUUCCACUUAAGAUUCAGUGUGACAUUCUUGUCACUGGGCAAACAGUUGCACACCACAAGAUCAAUGUGCACACUGGUCAUUACAAAUUAGAGGGGACAUUGUCUGUGAAGUGGCUUGUAUCUCCUGUUUCUUAUUCACUUUCUGUGUGUUUGCAGUGCUUGGCUUGAGGUUCUCAAUACAAUCCCAAAUGCUCCUACUUUUUGAGCAAUCAUUUAUCAGAUAUUCUAAAGAGUCGGUAUGGAUUUUGUCCUUCAAGGAAGUUUGAAGCUCUUUUCUACAUAUCCACCUGGUUUUCUCCUCCCACAACAGAGUUUGCAGUUGAAAUUACUUUAGUCCAAGUGUGGUAAAUCUGUGGAAUUUGUUGCCACGAGCAGCUGAGGAGGCCAAGUCAUUGGGUGCAUUUAAGGCAGAGAUUGGUUUAUGAUUAGCCAGGGCAUCAAGGGGUGAGGGGAGUGGGAAUGACUGGAAGAAUUGGAUCAGCCAUGAUUGAAUGACAGAGCAAACUCGAUGGCUGAAUGGCAUACUUCUGCUCCUAUUUCGUAUGGUCCAUUUUGGAAGCCUGGUACAGCAGAUUAAUUAGCCUUGUAGUGUAGCCCUGUGCUGAGCAUGUGGACCCUCACUGGUUCAAUUGUACUUCCAAAGAAUUUGAAAGACUUUACCUACAAUGCCUUUGGAAGUCUGCUGUAGGUAAAUGCAGUGCAACGGCCACCACUAUCCAGUAAACCAUGAGUUUUGCACUUGGUCAGGAUUUUCACAUACCAUUUCCCUUAAUCAACCAAAGGGCACGUUAGUACUUUGAAGCCAGUAGUGCAUUUCACCAUCAAUGUCUUUUCACUAAUUGUUGGCUCCAAUGAUCUAGGCCCACAUUUUCUAGUAUCUACAUUUAUUGUCAGAGAACAGUAUGUUAAUGUGUAACAUGCUGUUGGUCUUGAAUGUAAGACACUCGUAAUCAAGCUUACAAUGUCAGUCAAGUUUUGACACAAUAAUAAAAGCAUUUACACAUGCUUGAGAGGCUCCCCAUCAAUUUCAUCCUGCCUCAUAAUUCUUCACCUUCUGCAAUAGUGGGAGAUUCUAGAUAGAAGAUGCAUGAUAUCAUGGCCUCUUGCACAGUUGAAUAUCUGGUUCUUGCCUCAAGAGUGUUCCCUUGGCUGAUCAGGAUUUGCCACAGUCCUUGUCUGGGUAGUCUUAUUCCAAACUGGUAUCCUUGCCUUGAAAACAAAUUUAAUCGGGGGAUGAACUUAUUUUAAAAUCCUGUCACAGAUUCACAGGGCUUUGACAGUGUUGGCUCCAGAACAGCAAAUGUGCAUCACUGUUUCCAUUUUAUUCACUGUUUCAACAGUGUUGCAACAAAAAAAGAUGGGCAUCUCUAGUGCAGGGGAGCCCUGCCAUCGGCCUUUAGUGUUCUCGCAUCUUGGAAGGAGUGUAGGUGCUGAUAACUUACCUAUGACUUACAUUGGACUCUUGUGGAUGCCAGCUAAAGGAGGAAUCAGCUGAAUUCCGGGUGUCUUGUGUUUUCAAAGCCUUCAAACUUUAUAAAUUGCUUAAACUCAAUACCCAUUACUGAUGAAGGGUCUCAGCCCAAAAUGUUGACUGUAUAUUCUCCUCCAUCAAUGCUGCCUAACCUGUUGCGUUCCUUCAGUAUUUUGUGUUUGUUAUCCAUUACAUAAUUUCUCAUAGUUUUGAAACAAACAUUAAAGACACAAUUUAUAGAUAACAGAAAAUUAAGAUUGCUUUCUUUCAGAUCACAUAAUAUAUACUAUGUAUUAAUAUUUGAGUAGUAUUGUAAAUUGUUUGAUUAAGCAUUCUUUGUUUACAUAAUUCAUUACAGGUUAAAUGUCAGACAUCAUUAUGCCACCACAUCAUGUGUACGUUCCACACUAAAGUAAAACAAAAUAGACA